CGAGUUCCAAAAAUCCAAACCCGAACUUUCAACGCCCGUCGCUGUAGGGCAACCUGUGCUACGGACUGCAAUCUACAACUACAGUAUUUAGUUAUUUACACUACGCUGUAUUGCCUGUAUUCCAAUAUCACCUAUCAAUUUCGAAUCGCGGCGCUAGUUGCGGUGAACCCGUUUCGAAUUUUAAUUUCCCAUUUCCACGCUGUUGCUCGUGAGUUGUGUUCUGCGGUUGCUCAGGGUGCAGGAUCUCGACUUGUGAGUUGUGGUCGAUAGUUUGUUUAUUUGUUUGCACAUUCGCUGUAGUAGACACCUACUGCGGCUAGCUAAUUACUCAAACCGAUAAGCGUCUGCCCACGACCAGUGAAUCGUUAUUCUGUCUAUCGAAGUUUCGUUCUACCGCCAUUUCGCGGGUCUCGAUUUAAUCGUCACAAAAUAUAUUAUAAUUCUUCUCAGUGUAUAUCCAUCUGCGUGAUCGUUUGUACAAUGAGUGUGUCGGGAGAAAAUGCUGUAGAUGUCGAAGAACCGGAACAGUUCAGGAAAUUAUUCAUAGGUGGACUUAACUACACAACUACAAAUGAUUCAUUAAAAGAAUUUUUCGAGAAGUGGGGUGAUAUUGUCGAUGUAGUUGUUAUGAAAGAUCCUGUCACAAAAAGGUCACGAGGAUUUGGUUUUAUUACAUACUCAAAAGCUUCAAUGGUAGAUGAUGCUAUGUCAAAUAGACCGCAUAAAAUUGAUGGUCGUGAAGUAGAAACAAAACGUGCUGUACCACGUGAUGACAUAGAUAAACCUGAUAUAGCAUGGACUGUCAAAAAAAUGUUUGUUUCUGGAAUUAAAGAACAAUCUGAAGAAGAAUUAAAAGAAUAUUUUGGACAAUAUGGAAAUAUACUUAAUAUUCAAAUUAUUGCAGACAAAGAAACUGGACAACGUAAAGGCUUUGGAUUUAUUGAAUUUGAUGAUUCAGAUUCAGUUGAUAAAGCUGUUUUAAUCAAAACCCAUGAAGUUUCCGGGUCUAAAUUAGAAGUUAAAAAAGCUGUCAGUAAAGAUGUAGCAUCAGCUUCUAGAGGCCGCAGAGGUGGGCGUGGUGCUAGUGGUGGAAGAGGUCAAAGUUGGGGAGGACCAAAUAAUAAUUGGGGAGGUAACCAUUUUGGGGGAUAUGGCAGUGGAGGCGGUAGUGGUGGUUGGGCUCAAGGUGGUCCUCAAGGUUGGAAUAAUGUUUGGGGUAGUCAAGCUACCCAAGGAGGUUGGGGUAAUGGAGGAGGUAAUUGGGGAGGUAGUCAAAGUGGAUAUGGAGGUGGACCAAUGCGAGGAAAUUUUGGUAACAACAGAGCAGUACCAUAUCAUACAGGUCGUGGAGGUGGUGGUAAUUUCCAUCAAAAUUCAAGAGGAAGGUAUUAAAAGCAGGUUGCUGAAGCGAGGCUGGUAGGAAUCAAUAACCAUCAAAUUUCUCUCCUUCAACUUUUGGGUAUUGAACUAUUCGAAUGAUGUUUUUUUCAGACAAAAAUUAUCUGCUCUUCACAUGUUGACACUUAAUGCCAUUUAUGAACCGCUAUAAAGUUAUGCAAAUGCUCAACUAAACAGUUUUCAACAUUUCAAGAAGCUAUUAAUGCAUAAUUUACAUAGUUUCGGGAUUAAACUGAUAUUAUUGAAAAGAUGUCAUAUACCUGUAUUGGCUGUAUUUAAUUUACAAUAUGACAAUAUAUUGGUAUGAAAAGGUACAUAAUAUUUACUUCAUUGCAAAAGUUCAUAAUGUAUGUCAGACUCGAACAUAUAUCUAACCUUUCAAAUUUGAAGUAAGUGUUGUACAAUACUAAGUUAUCCAACAAAUAAUGUUAUGUUGUCAUAACUGACUGUAAUAAAGUAAAAAUCAGUUUGUUA